rnacentral:lncRNA from 1 species
UUAUUAGAAAUCGUGGUUGGGCCUAACACAACCCCACAAAACCGGCUUGUGAGGUGAGGAUUGCCCCCACUUAUAAACAAAUUGUCAGGCCAACUCCUAACCGAUGUGGGACUCUUAACACACCCCCUCACGCUCAGGGUUGCACAUCUGAAGUGUAAACACAAAUGACGGGUGGCCCGAUAACGGAAACCUGAUAACAGGUGGCCCAAAGAAUCGUGAAGAGGCUCUGAUACCAUAUUAGAAAUCGUGGUUGGGCCUAACACAACCCCACAAAACCUGCUUGUGAGGUGAGGAUUGCCCCCACUUAUAAACAAAUUGUCAGGCCAACUCCUAACCGAUGUGGGACUCUUAACA